UACGUAGGCAGCGAGCGUUGUUCGGAGUUACUGGGCGUAAAGGGUGUGUAGGCGGUUGUUUAAGUCGGGUGUGAAAUCCCCAGGCUUAACCUGGGAACUGCAUUCGAGACUGCAUUGCUAGAGUAUGGGAGAGGGAAGUGGAAUUUCCGGUGUAGCGGUGAAAUGCGUAGAUAUCGGAAGGAACAUCAGUGGCGAAAGCGACUUCCUGGACCAAUACUGACGCUCAUGUGCGAAAGCGUGGGGAGCAAACAGG
rnacentral:rRNA from 1 species